rnacentral:rRNA from 1 species
AAGUCGUAACAAGGUUUCCAUAGCAUAAGUUAUGAACAUGAUCCUUCUGUUGGUAAACUUAUAGAAGCCUUAGUAUCCUAGUUAUAGGAGGCCACGCGACAAAAAAUAAAGUGGCCGAUUACUAGUUAGCUUAUGCUAGCAACACAAUCGGACUGGAUGGGAAUACCCAUAUGUAAUAAUACUCUAUGGUGCUUAUGCCGUAGUGGUAUCGCAUGCGACAUGGGUAACCCACAGCGUAUACCUCAAUAGGCACUUGCGUAUGCCUUUUAGGGAACGUUCACAGACUAAGUGGUUGUGGAUGGAGUCUUAUGAACUCUAUUUGAGAUAUAGUCGGGCCUGAUAGUAAUUUUCAGGUUAUGGCAAUCAUUAACUGUCCAUACAGACAACGUGUUGGCACAGAGGUUGAGGGCCACAUUGGAGAAAUGAUGCCACUAAAUACCCGUUCCGUAGGUGAACCUGCGGAAGGAUCAUUACCGAGAACAUGCCCUUUGGGUAUAUCUCCCACCCUUUGCUUACAAUACCUCUGUUGCUUUGGUGGGCCCGUCUCACGACCACUGGCUCCGGCUGGUCUGUGCCCACCAGAGGACCCAACACUCUUAAUUAUGCUGUCUGAGCACUAUAUAAUAUUUAAAACUUUCAACAACGGAUCUCUUGGUUCUGGCAUCGAUGAAGAACGCAGCGAAAUGCGAUAAGUAAUGUGAAUUGCAGAAUUCAGUGAAUCAUCGAAUCUUUGAACGCACAUUGCACCUCUGGUAUUCCGGGGGGUAUGCCUGUUCGAGCGUCAUUUCAGCCCUCAAGCGCAGCUNNNUGGAUGUCACCUCUAGGUGCGUCCUAAAACAAUCGGCGGUGGCAUUCAGCUUCUAGCGGAGUAACUCAUCUCGCUCUGGAGCCUGGAUGUCCCACAGCCAAAACACUGAUCUUUAAUCAAAGGUUGACCUCGGAUCAGGUAGGGAUACCCGCUGAACUUAAGCAUAUCAAUAAGCGGAGGAAAAGAAACCAACAGGGAUUGCCUCAGUAACGGCGAGUGAAGCGGCAACAGCUCAAAUUUGAAAUCUGGCCUCACGGUCCGAGUUGUAAUUUGUAGAGGAUGCUUCGAGCGUGGUCCGGUCUAAGUUCCUUGGAACAGGACGUCAUAGAGGGUGAGAAUCCCGUAUGUGACUGGGUGCCUAAGCUCUUGUGAAGCUCCUUCGACGAGUCGAGUUGUUUGGGAAUGCAGCUCAAAAUGGGUGGUAAAUUUCAUCUAAAGCUAAAUACUGGCCAGAGACCGAUAGCGCACAAGUAGAGUGAUUGAAAGAUGAAAAGCACUUUGGAAAGAGGGUUAAACAGUACGUGAAAUUGUUGAAAGGGAAGCGCUUGCAACCAGACUUGCAUGCACUCGAUCAUCCGGUGUUCUCACCGGUGCACUCGAAUGUAUUCAGGCCAGCAUUGGUUUCAGUGGUUGGAUAAAGGCCAGGGGAAUGUAGCUUCUCUCGGGGAGUGUUAUAGCCUCUGGUGCCAUGCGGCCUACUGGGACCGAGGACCGCGCUCCGGCUAGGAUGCUGGCGUAAUGGUUGUAAGCGACC